UACCGAAGACUGCAGCAUUAAUAUAUAGCUAUUAAGGCGAUGAAGAAAAAAUUGCGUAAAAAUUUACAACUGACAAAUAAGAUAUUAUUAAAAUUUAAUUUUCUUAAUAUUUUAUUUAACGAUGACAAACGCAAGAUAUCAGAGCUUUUCAUA